CGGGACGGGUGAGUAACGCGUGGGUAACCUGCCUUGUACUGGGGGACAACAGUUAGAAAUGACUGCUAAUACCGCAUAAGCGCACAGUAUCGCAUGAUACAGUGUGAAAAACUCCGGUGGUACAAGAUGGACCCGCGUCUGAUUAGCUAGUUGGUAAGGUAACGGCUUACCAAGGCGACGAUCAGUAGCCGAUCUGAGAGGGUGACCGGCCACAUUGGGACUGAGACACGGCCCAA
rnacentral:rRNA from 1 species